UACAGAGACUGCAAGCGUUAUUCGGAUUCACUGGGCGUAAAGGGUGCGCAGGCGGCCAAGUGUGUGAGGCGUGAAAGCCCGGGGCUUAACCCCGGAAUUGCACCUCAAACUACAUGGCUAGAGCAUUGGAGAGGGUAGCAGAAUUCCUGGUGUAGCGGUGAAAUGCGCAGAUAUCAGGAAGAACACCAAUGGCGAAGGCAGCUCUCUGGGACGGUACUGACGCUGAGACGCGAAAGCGUGGGGAGCGAACAGG
rnacentral:rRNA from 1 species